UUUAAUCUAAAAUUAAAUCUAAAAUUUGAGGAUUAGAGAAAAAUCUCUAGGAUAACUAGAUUAUCCUGUAGAUGAUCGCAGCAACGUCCGAGGUUCUAAAAUAGCCACGCAGUCGUCUGGCCUCUAUCGGUAUCCACUCAAGCAGGAUCUGGAUCAUCUUCUCUUCAUGAAUUUUUGCUUCAAAAAUCAGAUCUAGAUCUGAUCUGUAAGAUCUUCUGAAGCUGGAGCAACAGCUUCUCUAUAAAUCCCUGCAGCC
rnacentral:lncRNA from 1 species